rnacentral:sRNA from 1 species
GCAAAAUUAUUCUGUACAUGGGAACACAGAGACUUAAUAUCACGUCCAAAUUUAUCUGUGAUUUAUGCACAUGUAGGAGACCAAACAUGUGUGUCUAUAUACCUACCCAGGAGGACGCCACCUCCAGUAAAUUCACCUAUUUCAAUCACAUCAUAUUAUUCAGCUGAAGACAGAGAUGAAACAUUUGUACAAGAUGGUUCCAUGUGUGGUCCUGAUAUGUAUUGUUUCGAAAUGCAUUGUAAACAUGUUAGAUUCCUGAUGAAUUUAAAAUUGUGUGAUGCUUCUAAUCAUUGUGAUCGUCAUGGAGUUUGUAACAAUUUUAACCAUUGCCAUUGUGAAAAGGGAUAUAAUCCUCCUUACUGCCAACCAAAGCAAGGAGCAUUUGGAAGUAUUGAUGAUGGACACUUAGUACCACCAACUG